GAGUUACAUAUUUGAACGCAAUGCAUUACACUGCUUGGGCGUCAUCGUUUGCGUGAUCUUUUGAAGUCACAAACAGAGUAUUCCCAGGCGGUCACCCAUCCAAGUACUAACCAGGCCCGACCCUGCUUAGCUUCCGAGAUCAGACGAGAUCGGGCGUGCCUUUUUUUUUUUUUUUUUUUUUAUCUUUUUUUAUUAUUUUCCAGUUCACACAUUUACAGCAACCGAUAACAGAGUAUUAUUUACAUACAUCAUCUCUGAGAAAAAAAACUUUUACACACCCAACUUAAUCCCCUUCCCUUAUCCUUCCCACAUCACUUAAUCCUAAUGAAGACAGCACAAAUGUUGCGCCAAAUCAGAAAAUACAGCUCAAUCUGCAUGCCCCAGUCUUUUCACCAGUUAAACAAAAUCUCCCCUCCCUCCCCUUCAAAGACUAAUUUACUCCCACUCAAAAAGAAAUGUUCCGCCUUCUCCCCUCCAUACUUAUACAUUAAGUUCACAUCUCUUUUCAUUAUUGAUUUAAACAACAUUUUUAUUUUCACUUUCCGCCCCUCAAAGUGUGCGUAGUUCCUCCUGCAGACGACCGCGAGUCUGGCAUGACUCAAAACAAAAUUCAUUAAACAAAAAUUAACGUCUAUUCUUUUUUUCAAACGUGCCAAACAAAAACAAUGUCCUCCACCCUCCCUCCAAGUCCAACUCAGCAGCCCAGUUAUCUUUCAACAGUUCUUUCAAAAACUCAAAGAAAUCAACUAACUCCCCACAGUCCAAAAAAUAAUGUAAAAAGCUCUCAUGACCACUUUUGCAAACAUCACACAUCACAUUUACAUCAUUAUUAAUCUUAUUUAGCACCACGUUUGUAUAAAUCCUAUUGUGUCUGAUCAAGAAAUCGUUGUUCUCACACUCUAUACUAUUAUACCUUAUCCCCAUAUUUGACCAUAUUUUCUUUACAUUCAAACCCACAAACACUCUGCUCCACACUUUCUCAGCUGCCGGCUCCUUCAUCACAUCCACUAUCAACCAUCUGUAUACUUUCUUCACACUCAUUUCUCCCAUUUUAAUCUUUU
ensembl:lncRNA